AGUCUCACAUGUUCGAUCUUCAAUACGGUUCAGACAGCUUUGUAGUUUACAGCAAGGAAUCAAAGUCCUCACACAGCUUGGUGUUUCAGUAGAGCAGUACGUACCCAUUUUAUUAGUGUUACUUAUGGAUAGAAAACCAGCAGAUUACAGACACAGAUUUAGGAAGCAAGAACACAGCUUUAGCCCACAUAAGUAUGUGUAGCUAGAAACAACAUUGAAACGCAGAAAAGACACCAAACAAAUAAGGUACUUAUUAGCAUCCUUCCAGAUGUUUCAUCAUUUCCUUCUAUAUAGCCUUGUAUGACCACUCAACAUUGUUCAUGCCACCGUUCAUGCCACCCCCGUUGUAUCCAGUGAAUCGGUUCUGCCUGAACGACAUUUCGUGUUCUUGCUGCAUCAUCAUGCCACUCUGUGCAGGAGGGCACUGCACCCUGUUGUAGCUAGCAGCCGAUCCGUACCUUUGGUGGCUUCCACCGUACCUUUGGUGACCCCCACCGUACAUCCCACCGGACUGAGAGGCAGAGGAGGACAUGAAGCUUCCGCCACUCGACAUUUGGUGAGCCCCACCAAAGGCACCCCCAGAACUCGAGUGGUGGUUCAUGCUGCUGUGAGCAGCAACAGCACCACCGCCCCAGCCGUUUUGGCUCGCGCUG
rnacentral:lncRNA from 1 species